GCUAGGUCUAGCUCUAGGAGGGGUAGGCUCUGGGUGGCAGGCUUGGAAUCUGAGCCCCUUCCCACCCACAGGAAGCAUGUGUAACGUCAACAUUGACGAAUGUGCGGGCAGCCCCUGCCACAACGGGGGCACUUGUGAGGAUGGCAUCGCGGGCUUCACUUGCCGCUGCCCCGAGGGCUACCAUGACCCCACGUGCCUGUCCGAGGUCAACGAGUGCAACAGUAACCCCUGCAUCCACGGAGCUUGCCGGGAUGGCCUCAAUGGGUAUGGCAGACUGACCUGGGAGGGACUAGCUGUAGCCUUGGGCAGACACAGGCUGGGUGAAUGGGUGCUCCUGUGAGACCAGUGAUCUGAGGUCAGCCCCUAGUGUCUUCCCAGCAUCCCUGGGCUGUAUCCUCAUUGGCUAGCAUCAGCUCAGGAUAUAGACUCUAAGCACACUGUGGCUGCUGAAACAGUUGUCUGAUACUGUGGUGACAGCAGCCCUUUGUCAGUGUGUGGGGGACGAGGAGAUUACUAAGGUCUCCGUUAAAACUAUUAAAGUUUUAUACAGAGGGUCAGCAUUGUCAAGGUGGCAUUGUUCCAGUCUGGAACCCUUGCACGGUCUUGGGCCAGGUGGGUACCUCCAGCCCAGUGGAUGAUGUGGCCUUGUCCUCAGACUGGAACUGUAGUUUAGCAGGAGAGCUCUGAGCCCAGGCUACAGCUCAGGCCUCUCCGUAGGUACAAGUGUGACUGUGCCCCUGGGUGGAGUGGAACAAACUGUGACAUCAACAACAACGAGUGUGAGUCCAACCCUUGUGUCAACGGUGGCACCUGCAAGGACAUGACCAGUGGCUACGUAUGCACCUGCCGAGAAGGCUUCAGUGGUAAGUGUGGCGGGUGACACAGCAGAAUGGGUCCUCCCUUUGGUCUCUUUCUCGGUCCACCUGAUGAGCUAGCAUUUCUCAGGCAGAGAUCCUAGUUCUCUUGAGGAAAGGCAUAGGGCAGAGGCUCUGGCCCACCUCCUCUUGCUCAACUUCCUUACAGGCCCUAAUUGCCAGACCAACAUCAACGAAUGUGCCUCCAACCCCUGCCUGAACCAGGGGACCUGCAUUGAUGAUGUCGCUGGAUACAAGUGCAACUGUCCUCUGCCAUAUACAGGUACGAACAGCCAGGGACUGGAAUUGGCUCUGGUGGUAGCUAGUGGAGCUAAGAGUAUAUGGGCUUACCAGGCACUGAAGAAGGUUCUGUUCCUCGCUGAGGGUCUUAGGUCCUCAGACUGGAACUGUAGUUAAGCAGGAAGGCUCUGAGCCCAGGCUACAGCCCAGGCCUCCUGGGCCUGGGGAUAGUCACCAGAUGGGCAAACACAGAGGAUGCCUAGGAGGAAGCUCCAGGCCGUGUGUCCGGGUGUUUAUCUGGUAUGUCUGGAGUGAGGUGAGCACUGGACUCCUCCAGAGAAAGUCUGGGAGGCUGACUGGUAGGUACUGCAUGGAUCAGGGUCCACUUUGCCUGUGCCUCUGGGGGCCCUGGCUGCCCUCCUCUGCUGGCUGGGCCUGGGAUUCCUUUGAUGGCAGCUUCUUUGUGUGAGGAGACAAGGAGCCCUCUGUUAGAUGAACAGAGGCAGCUCCUGCCAUGGGCACUGCCUGAGGAAUGGCGAGAAAUAGACCCCCUGCAGGAGAGAUGUGCAUUGAACAUGAAAGCCGUGACCACAUGGCCCCCAACCCUGCAGCUCCAAAUACUGCCACAGAGUACUGGUGGCUUCAUGCUGCUGCUGCUAGGUUCUGGACAUAGCAAGUGGGUCUGUGAAGGUGGAGGCCCUUCCAGUGUUCCUAUGAUGCCUGGCAGGAUGCUGUUUUCUUUGACAAAGUUAAAGGGCCUGGAUUUUGUCUCCUGUGUUGGUCAGUGAGGAAACUGUCAGCAGCCAGGCACACCCCAUGUUCCUUUUGGUCUUGCUGCUAUCGGGGCUAGCGGGAGGAGUCAAGCCGCGCUGACCAGCUUCCUGCUUCCCUUUGCACAAUUGUCGGAAACUCUGUCAAAGUUCCUGUCUGCCCAGGUCACCGUGGAAACCGAUAGAGAGAGAGGCCCUGGAGAGUCUCACCAGUGGGCUGGGGACAUGGUGGGAGACAAGGAAGAUAAGGUUUCCUUGCUUAGCUCCUGGAGCCAACCAUGGCCAUAAACAGGAAAGCUAACUGGGAUUGCAAGGAGAGUCACCUGGGUUACUCGUGGCUCCCCCAAGCGGUUAUCAGAUUUCACUGCCCUAGUGUGAGGCUGCACCCCAUGUUCCCCAAGUAGGAUAUGCUUGGGGUAGCCACAGUAGCUCUGUCUCAGGAGUGAGCCUGCUGUGACCUAAAGCUUCAGAAUCAGCUCAAGGAUUUUCCUGGAAUGGGGAGCAGGCCAGGUUCCUCCAGGCUCAACCACCUGUUAUAGUAGGGUCUUGUUUUGAGGUUUUCUGGUUGGGCAAGGCCCAGGCUUCAUCGUGGAGCAUUUGGGAGAUGAGAGAUGGCUUCCGGGACUACAUAGAUGGCUCAUGGAGAAAGAGUGCUUGUGGAAACAUGAAGCCUGUUUCAUGAAAACAGGGUACCUCUAAAUGCCCAUAACCCCAACAUUUGGGAGCAGAGACAUCUUGAGAGCUCUCUGGCUGGCCAGCCUAGCUAAGAUGGCAAAGCGUCUGAUUCAGUGAGACUCUGUCUCAAAGGAAUAAGAUGCGGGGUUGGUAGAGGACACCUGAUAUCCGUCUCUCCUUCUGCAUACACUCUUACACACCUGCAUGCAAUAUACUAUGCUCG
rnacentral:lncRNA from 1 species